UGGGAAAAUCUAGGAGGUGGGUCGAACGGCUGGGAGUAUGAACAGAGGAGUUUGUUCGUGGACGUGGCUUGGAUUGAUGAAGACUCGGACUAUGUUCCGAAGCAACAGGGAAUACGUGGGUGAUGAAGGUUAUCCGGAAGAAGAUGAGAGCUGGUGCCGUUUGGGAGUGAUCCGGAAGAGGCCAACGCGAACGGGAGGAUGGAAGAUCACGGACAGGAUGUGGGCUGCGGAGGCCAUGCACGCAUGAGAUUGGUUGUUCCGCGAGAUAAAGAUGAUCUCGGAACAGGGGAGGUUGGAAGAGAGACGCGUGGAAUUUGUUGAUGGAUGCUAAACGGUAAUGAAGGGAAGCGACUGGGAGUGAAGAUGUUGAGACUUUGUUUGUGAACGUGGGAGUGAAGGAGAAAUAAACUGUUUGGGAGGAUUACGCUAAGAAAAGGAAUUGGGGUUGACUCGGAAUAUUGAAUUUUUAAAUGGAGAUGAUAUGGAAAAAAUGACUGGUGAACGACUGGGAAGUGAAUCCCGGGAGUUUGAUACAGGGGAUGUGAUCCUAUUCAGCUGGGAACAUGUGUGGGAAGAAAAUUAGGUGACUGAGAUGUGACGCAGGAAAGUUUGGUGGAGUCAAAUGUGGGAAAGAAACAAGGGAGGAUGGAUCU
rnacentral:lncRNA from 1 species